rnacentral:rRNA from 1 species
GAUUAACGCUGGCGGCAUGCCUAAUACAUGCAAGUCGGACGAGGGUAGCAAUACCCUAGUGGCGAACGGGUGAGUAACACGUGGGAAAUCUGCCUUUAAGUCGAGGAUAACUGCUGGAAACGGCAGCUAAAACUGGAUAGGUUAUAUUGGGGCAUCCUGAUAUAAUUAAAAGUCCUUUACGGGAAUGCUUAAAGAUGAUCCUGCGUCGCAUUAGCUAGUUGGUGAGGUAGCGGCUCACCAAGGCGACGAUGCGUAGCUGUGCUGAGAGGCAAAACAGCCACACUGGGACUGAGACACGGCCCAGACUCCUACGGGAGGCAGCAGUAGGGAAUUUUCGGCAAUGGGGGAAACCCUGACCGAGCAAUGCCGCGUGAAUGAAGAAGGUCUUCGGACUGUAAAAUUCUGUUAUUUGUGGAAGAAGGUAGUUGGAGGAAAUGCCAAUUACUUGACGGUACCAAAUGAGAAAGCCCCGGCUAACUAUGUGCCAGCAGCCGCGGUAAUCA